rnacentral:rRNA from 1 species
AGUGGGGAAUAUUGCACAAUGGAGGAAACUCUGAUGCAGCAACGCCGCGUGGAGGAUGACGCAUUUCGGUGUGUAAACUCCUUUUAUAUAGGAAGAUAAUGACGGUACUAUAUGAAUAAGCACCGGCUAACUCCGUGCCAGCAGCCGCGGUAAUACGGAGGGUGCAAGCGUUACUCGGAAUCACUGGGCGUAAAGCGCAUGCAGGCGGUUUAUUAAGUUGGAAGUGAAAUCCUAUGGCUCAACCAUAGAACUGCUUCCAAAACUGAUAAACUAGAGUCUGGGAGGGGAAGAUGGAAUUAGUAGUGUAGGGGUAAAAUCCGUAGAGAUUACUAGGAAUACCAAAAGCGAAGGCGAUCUUCUGGAACAGUACUGACGCUGAGAUGCGAAAGCGUGGGGAGCAAACAGGAUUAGAUACCCUGGUAGUCCACGCAGUAAACGAUGAAUGUUAGUCGUUGGGACUCUAGUAGUUUCAGUGAUGCAGUUAACACAUUAAACAUUCCGCCUGGGGAGUACGGUCGCAAGAUUAAAACUCAAAGGAAUAGACGGGGACCCGCACAAGUGGUGGAGCAUGUGGUUUAAUUCGAAGAUACGCGAAGAACCUUACCUAGCCUUGACAUACUACAGAAUUUGACAGAGAUGUUGAAGUGCCUUCGGGAGCUGUAAUACAGGUGCUGCACGGCUGUCGUCAGCUCGUGUCGUGAGAUGUUGGGUUAAGUCCCGCAACGAGCGCAACCCUCGUCCUUAGUUA